GCAAGUCGAGCGGUAACAGAAAGUAGCUUGCUACUUUGCUGACGAGCGGCGGACGGGUGAGUAAUGCCUGGGAAUAUGCCUUGAUGUGGGGGAUAACUAUUGGAAACGAUAGCUAAUACCGCAUAAUGUCUUCGGACCAAAGAGGGGGACCUUCGGACCUCUCGCUCAUAGAUUAGCCCAAGUGAGAUUAGCUAGUUGGUAAGGUAAUGGCUUACCAAGGCGACGAUCCCUAGCUGUUCUGAGAGGAUGAUC
rnacentral:rRNA from 1 species